AAUUUGCUGUAUCUGCAGAAUCACAAGCUAACCAACAAUGAAGGUCUUCAUCGCUCUAUUACUAGCCACUGUGGCGUUGGUCGCCGAAGGAUCUGCUGUAUCCACAGUUUGGCCAUCUCACUAUGGCGGAUGGAACUCUUGGAAUGGAUGGAAUGGUUGGAAUGGAUGGAAUGAUCAUGGUGCGCUUGCUUAUUCCUAUGCUAAAUCGUGGUCAUCCUCCUGGCAGGGCGCACCGCUGUACAAAGGCUGGGGUGGAUAUUACAACGGAGCCAGCUCGUGGGGUCUUCCCUGGGGAAGCUAUGCAAAUGAUUGGGGACAUCACGGCGUUGUGAAGACUGUCGUGCCUGCCAAGACGAACUACUGGGGACUGUCAUGGGGAUCGUACGGAUCAGGAGCUCACGGCUGGGGAUACUAGGGAGGGGCUGAUUUCGAGACACGAUUGUAUAUGAUGGAAAAUUCUCUUGGAUCCUACGAACAUUCCUCAUACUGGCCGUCUUACUCUGCUGGAUGGAGCUCCUGGAGAAACGGCUGGAACGGUUGGAACAGCUGGAAUGAUCACCAAGUAGCUUCUUAUCCAU